GCCCGCCUAGCUCAAUCGGAUAGAGCGUCAGACUCUUACAACCGAUUGUGUUUGGUGGUGAUCUGAAGGCUGCGAGUUCGACCCUCGCGGUGGGCU